rnacentral:rRNA from 1 species
UGGGGAAUAUUGGACGAUGGGCGAAAGCCUGAUCCAGCCAUGCCGCGUGUGUGAAGAAGGUCUUCGGAUUGUAAAGCACUUUAAGUUGGGAGGAAGGGCAUUAACCUAAUAUGUUAGUGUUUUGACGUUACCGACAGAAUAAGCACCGGCUAACUCUGUGCCAGCAGCCGCGGUAAUACAGAGGGUGCAAGCGUUAAUCGGAAUUACUGGGCGUAAAGCGCGCGUAGGUGGUUUGUUAAGUUGGAUGUGAAAUCCCCGGGCUCAACCUGGGAACUGCAUUCAAAACUGACUGACUAGAGUAUGGUAGAGGGUGGUGGAAUUUCCUGUGUAGCGGUGAAAUGCGUAGAUAUAGGAAGGAACACCAGUGGCGAAGGCGACCACCUGGACUAAUACUGACACUGAGGUGCGAAAGCGUGGGGAGCAAACA